ACCUGGCUGGCUCAGUCAGUAGGGCAUAUGACUCUUGAUCUUAGGGUUGUGAGUUUGAGCCCCAUGUUGGGGG
rnacentral:tRNA from 1 species